CAAAAGUCAAGAUGAACGGCAAUAGGUGGCAGAGUGGAAUCGGAGGACUUAUCUUCUUGAGUUCAAAUUUGACUUCAAACUAGCUGUGUGAUGCUGGGCAAGCCAUUUAACCCUGCGAAGAGGUGAAUAGCAGAACAAAAAAAGAGGAUUUCAAAAAUCAUGGACUUCUACUUGCCCAGGGAAGAGAGUGACUGUUCAGUAAAACCACACAUUCUAGGCCACAUCCAGGAGUCAGGUAUCCUCUGAUGUGGUAUCCAGAUGGUGGAAAUAAAAUCUGGCCAUCAGUAAUAAGUAAAUAAGAGUUCUGUGGAAGAUGAAUUUGAAGAGGGAUAAACUGAAGGUAGGAAGAGCAGUUAAAGGAAUCUAGAGAAAAAAUAAGAGGAGGAAAUUUUGAAGGAAAACAAUCUUUAUUAUCUAGAAUCUACUUCCAGACUUUAUGGGGGG
rnacentral:lncRNA from 1 species